UACGAAGGGGGCUAGCGUUGCUCGGAAUGACUGGGCGUAAAGGGCGCGUAGGCGGUUUGUACAGUCAGGUGUGAAAUUCCCGGGCUCAACCUGGGGGCUGCACUUGAUACGUAUGGACUGGAGUGGGGAAGAGGGUCGUGGAAUUCCCAGUGUAGCGGUGAAAUUCGUAGAUAUUGGGAAGAACACCGAUGGCGAAGGCAGCCAUCUGGACCGACACUGACGCUGAGGCGCGAAAGCGUGGGGAGCAAACAGG
rnacentral:rRNA from 1 species